UACAGAGGGUGCGAGCGUUAAUCGGAAUUACUGGGUGUAAAGCGCACGUAGGCGGCUUGGUAUGUCGGGUGUGAAAUCCCCGGGCUCAACCUGGGAACUGCAUCCGAAACUGCCUUGCUCGAGUAUGGGAGAGGGAAGUGGAAUUUCCGGUGUAGCGGUGAAAUGCGUAGAUAUCGGAAGGAACAUCAGUGGCGAAGGCGACUUCCUGGACCAAUACUGACGCUCAGGUGCGAAAGCGUGGGGAGCAAACAGG
rnacentral:rRNA from 1 species